GAUGAAGAACGUAGCGAAAUGCGAUAAGUAGUGUGAAUUGCAGAAUUCAGUGAAUCAUCGAAUCUUUGAACGCACAUUGCGCCCCUUGGUAUUCCAUGGGGCAUGCCUGUUCGAGCGUCAUUUGUACCUUCAAGCUCUGCUUGGUGUUGGGUGUUUGUCUCGCCUCUGCGUGUAGACUCGCCUUAAAACAAUUGGCAGCCGGCGUAUUGAUUUCGGAGCGCAGUACAUCUCGCGCUUUGCACUCAUAACGACGACGUCCAAAAGUGCAUUUUUACACUCUUGACCUCGGAUCAGGUAGGGAUACCCGCUGAACUUAAGCAUAUCAAUAAGCGGAGGA
rnacentral:misc_RNA from 1 species